GGGCGGGGGGCUUACACAUGCAGUCGACGAUGAACCACCUUCGGGUGGGGAUUAGUGGCGAACGGGUGAGUAACACGUGGGCAAUCUGCCCUUCACUCUGGGACAAGCCCUGGAAACGGGGUCUAAUACCGGAUACUGACCUGCCAAGGCAUCUUGGCGGGUCGAAAGCUCCGGCGGUGAAGGAUGAGCCCGCGGCCUAUCAGCUUGUUGGUGAGGUAAUGGCUCACCAAGGCGACGACGGGUAGCCGGCCUGAGAGGGCGACCGGCCACACUGGGACUGAGACACGGCCCAGACUCCUACGGGAGGCAGCAGUGGGGAAUAUUGCACAAUGGGCGAAAGCCUGAUGCAGCGACGCCGCGUGAGGGAUGACGGCCUUCGGGUUGUAAACCUCUUUCAGCAGGGAAGAAGCGAAAGUGACGGUACCUGCAGAAGAAGCGCCGGCUAACUACGUGCCAGCAGCCGCGGUAAUACGUAGGGCGCAAGCGUUGUCCGGAAUUAUUGGGCGUAAAGAGCUCGUAGGCGGCUUGUCACGUCGGUUGUGAAAGCCCGGGGCUUAACCCCGGGUCUGCAGUCGAUACGGGCAGGCUAGAGUUCGGUAGGGGAGAUCGGAAUUCCUGGUGUAGCGGUGAAAUGCGCAGAUAUCAGGAGGAACACCGGUGGCGAAGGCGGAUCUCUGGGCCGAUACUGACGCUGAGGAGC
rnacentral:rRNA from 1 species